rnacentral:rRNA from 1 species
UACGUAGGGUGCGAGCGUUAAUCGGAAUUACUGGGCGUAAGGCGUGCGCAGGCGGUUCGUGAUGUCUGAUGUGAAAGCCCCGGGCUCAACCUGGGAAUUGCAUUGGAAACUAGCGGGCUGGAGUGUGGCAGAGGGGGGUGGAAUUCCACGUGUAGCAGUGAAAUGCGUAGAGAUGUGGAGGAACACCGAUGGCGAAGGCAGCCCCCUGGGCUAACACUGACGCUCAUGCACGAAAGCGUGGGGAGCAAACAGG